UUUUUGAAAAUAAUUUAAAGUCUAAUCUGCCCNCUGAUGAAAAUUAAAGGGCUGCAGUAUUUUGACUGUACAAAGGUAGCAUAAUCAUUAGUUUUUUAAUUGGAAACUUGUAUGAAAGAUUUAAUGAAAUAUAUACUGUCUCAAAUUUAUUAUUAAAACUUUAUUUUUUAGUUAAAAAGCUAAAAUAUUUUUAAAAGACGAGAAGACCCUAUAGAGUUUUAUAUUUAUUUUUAUUAAAAACUUAUAUAAAAAUUAAUGUUUAAAAUAAAAUAAAAUAUUAUGUUGGGGUGAUAGAAAAAUUAAAUUAACUUUUUGUGAUAAAUAAUAUUAAUAAAUAGAUAAAUGAUCCAUAAAUAAUGAUUAAAAGAAAAAAUUACCUUAGGGAUAACAGCGUAAUUUUUUUUUUUAGCACAAAUAAAAAAAAAAGUUUGCGACCUCGAUGUUGGAUUAAGAUAAAAUUUAAACGCAAAAGUUUAAAAUUUGGAUCUGUUCGAUCAUUA
rnacentral:rRNA from 1 species